GCGAACGGGUGAGUAACACGUAAAGAACCUGCCUCAUAGACGGGGACAACUAUUGGAAACGAUAGCUAAUACCGGAUAACAGCAUAAAUCACAUGAUAUAUGUUUAAAAGUUGGUUUCGGCUAACACUAUGAGAUGGCUUUGCGGUGCAUUAGCUAGUUGGUGGGGUAAAGGCCUACCAAGGCGACGAUGCAUAGCCGACCUGAGAGGGUGAUCGGCCACACUGGGACUGAGACACGGCCCAGACUCCUACGGGAGGCAGCAGUAGGGAAUCUUCGGCAAUGGACGGAAGUCUGACCGAGCAACGCCGCGUGAGUGAAGAAGGUUUUCGGAUCGUAAAGCUCUGUUGUAAGAGAAGAACGAGUGUGAGAGUGGAAAGUUCACACUGUGACGGUAUCUUACCAGAAAGGGACGGCUAACUACGUGCCAGCAGCCGCGGUAAUACGUAGGUCCCGAGCGUUGUCCGGAUUUAUUGGGCGUAAAGCGAGCGCAGGCGGUUAGAUAAGUCUGAAGUUAAAGGCUGUGGCUUAACCAUAGUACGCUUUGGAAACUGUUUAACUUGAGUGCAAGAGGGGAGAGUGGAAUUCCAUGUGUAGCGGUGAAAUGCGUAGAUAUAUGGAGGAACACCGGUGGCGAAAGCGGCUCUCUGGC
rnacentral:rRNA from 1 species